rnacentral:tRNA from 1 species
GGGGUUGUAGCUCAGCGGUAGAGCGCUCCUUUAGCAUGUGUGAGGCCCUGGGUUCGAGCCUCAGCACCACA